rnacentral:lncRNA from 1 species
UUUUAUCAUAAAUUAAGUCAUUUUAUUUCUUAUUUCUUAAUAGUAGAUAGAAAACAGUAAACAAUUCAUAAGAUGAAAUAUGAAGAUUAACUAUAAUUAUUUCAUGGUGUGAGCUGAUAAAGUUCUAAGUACCUUAUUCCAUAAAACCCUGAAUCUUCAAAAAAUUAUGUAUAACGUAUAUCUGUAGGUUCUGAAAAAAGUCACAGUUUCACAGAACAUUCUAGUACAUUUAAAAGAAUAAGCAUCAUUGGGCUCUAGUGCUUUAGUGGUUCUGAAUUCCCAUGCUUUCCAACACUGGCUAACAUACUGAUUUCUAAUGUGGGGUCUUCUUUUCCCUAAGAGAAAUACGUAUAGGACAACAAAGCCUUCUGAGCUGAAGAUGGCAGUCUUCUGACAUGUCCCUUUGUCUAUCAUCUCAAAGGUUGUUAUGCAUUCAUGCCACUCCAGAUUCGAAAUGCUGAGAGGAGUGACCCUCUGGCAUAAAGUGGAAGGGGGAUUAAGCAUGUUUGUUCUCAAGUUCGUGUACUUUACGGAAGAGUACCUAUGGAACUUGAGCAUCUGGAAACCUACUGACAAAGAAUUAUCCAAGCGCAUACAGAUUUCAAAUGGGAAUGAUGGCGAUCAUAAUUCAGUAGGGCACACUAACAACUUCACAAGAACUCUUCCCCACCCCCGCCGGACACACACAACACUCAGCCAUUAA